UCGUAACAAGGUUUCCGUAGGUGAACCUGCGGAAGGAUCAUUACUGAGUGCGGGCUGCCUCCGGGCGCCCAACCUCCCACCCGUGACUACCUAACACUGUUGCUUCGGCGGGGAGCCCUCUCGGGGGCGAGCCGCCGGGGACUACUGAACUUCAUGCCUGAGAGUGAUGCAGUCUGAGUCUGAAUAUAAAAUCAGUCAAAACUUUCAACAAUGGAUCUCUUGGUUCCGGCAUCGAUGAAGAACGCAGCGAACUGCGAUAAGUAAUGUGAAUUGCAGAAUUCAGUGAAUCAUCGAGUCUUUGAACGCACAUUGCGCCCCCUGGCAUUCCGGGGGGCAUGCCUGUCCGAGCGUCAUUGCUGCCCAUCAAGCCCGGCUUGUGUGUUGGGUCGUCGUCCCCCCCGGGGGACGGGCCGAAAGGCAGCGGCGGCACCGUGUCCGGUCCUCGAGCGUAUGGGGCUUUGUCACCCGCUCGAUUUAGGGCCGGCCGGGCGCCAGCCGACGUCCAACCAUUUUCUUCAGGUGACCUCGGAUCAGGUAGGAUACCCGCUGAACUUAGCAUAUCAU
rnacentral:misc_RNA from 1 species